CAGAGGAACCAUGGGACAGAACUAACAGUUGGACGAAAAUCCCGAUGUUUCAACAUAAGUGCCGAAAGCAUUGAUUAGGAGAAUACCUCAACAAUAGCAAUCGAAGAAAGAAAGAGGGAUGAAGAAACGAUCGAACUAGUUGCACAUUCGCUUUUGCAUAAUUUCAUGGUUCCUGAUUUCGCGGCCAACCGAGCGAAAAACUAUAACGAUGCUCCGUUUGAGGAACGAGGAGAACGGGGAACGACCUGCGUGCGGAUUCGGGCGCGGUCAAUGCCGUCUAGAUGCUCGCUAUUACUAUCCGGACCGCCUGGUAUUUUCGUCAUGGCCUACUAAUACACUCCGCAAAUUCUCGCCCUACCACGGGGGCCACCGUUCGACGAUGACGUCGUGAAGGAAAUAUGCCGAUCGUGAGCAGUGUCACUGACCGUGAUGGCCAAUUUCUUCGCUUUUUAUUCUUUGAAAUCGAGCCAACCGAGCCUGUUGCAGCCUCUUCUUUGCUAGAUUCGAGAUAUUCAGAAGCGUUAUUCCAAAAGUUUCGGAACAAAUUUCUCGGAAGGAAAGAUACGUCCCCGAUUGCCAGCUUUGGUAGCUUGGCGUAACGAGGGAAGCGGCAUGCUAAUACGUUUAGUGGGCAACCAGGAGCACAAUGGACACGGCUAAAUAUUCAGAGUUCGGCCUUCCAUAUAUUCAUGACCGUCAUCUUUGUAGAGAAAAAGAAAAGGCAGAUGUAUUUGCAUCUGAAAGAUGAACGAUUUGUGGGACAGGAAGCUUUUCAAUACUCUGUUUCUCAACGAUAUAUGUUGACCAUCAUUCACCGAUGGAUGCCACCUUUAGAAAAAUUGCAUUUAGCGUUUCACAGAGUGGAGUUAUGGUUACAAUUUAUUCCGAAACGCGUUAUUCAUAAUCGAUAGUCAUUCUUCAUUGCGAAACGCCACUAUCAUGUAGAAUGUGUCCUGAAAACGAUCCAGGAAAAUCAAGUGAU